ACGAACGCUGGCGGCGUGCCUAAUACAUGCAAGUAGAACGCUGAAGAGAGGAGCUUGCUCUUCUUGGAUGAGUUGCGAACGGGUGAGUAACGCGUAGGUAACCUGCCUUGUAGCGGGGGAUAACUAUUGGAAACGAUAGCUAAUACCGCAUAACAAUGGAUGACACAUGUCAUUUAUUUGAAAGGGGCAAUUGCUCCACUACAAGAUGGACCUGCGUUGUAUUAGCUAGUAGGUGAGGUAAUGGCUCACCUAGGCGACGAUACAUAGCCGACCUGAGAGGGUGAUCGGCCACACUGGGACUGAGACACGGCCCAGACUCCUACGGGAGGCAGCAGUAGGGAAUCUUCGGCAAUGGGGGCAACCCUGACCGAGCAACGCCGCGUGAGUGAAGAAGGGCUUCGGAUCGUAAAGUUCUGUUGUAAGUCAAGAACGGGUGUGAGAGUGGAAAGUUCACACUGUGACGGUAGCUUACCAGAAAGGGACGGCUAACUACGUG
rnacentral:rRNA from 1 species